AUUGGAGGGCAAGUCUGGUGCCAGCAGCCGCGGUAAUUCCAGCUCCAGUAGCGUAUAUUAAAGUUGUUGCGGUUAAAACGUUCGUAGUUGAACUUGUGCUUCAUACGGGUAGUACACCUAAAAUUUGGGAUGAUACAUUACCUAUUGUAUGAUAGCGUAUUACCGGUGGAGUUCUUAUAUAUAUAAUAUAUUUAUAUAUUAUUAUAUUCCUCCUAUAUAAACCUGAUUCAAUUCUCUUUACCGAGUGUUGCUUUGGGCCGGUACAGUUACUUUGAACAAAUUAGAGUGCUUAAAGCAGGCUCUUAAUGCCUGAAUAUUCUGUGCAUGGAAUAAUGGAAUAAGACCUCUGUUCUAAUUUCAUUGGUUUUUAGAUCAAGAGGUAAUGAUUAAUAGAAGCAGUUGGGGGCAUUAGUAUUACGACGCGAGAGGUGAAAUUCUUGGACCGUCGUAAGACUAACUUAAGCGAAAGCAUUUGCCAAAGAUGUUUUCAUUAAUCAAGAACGAAAGUUAGAGGUUCGAAGGCGAUCAGAUACCGCCCUAGUUCUAACCAUAAACGAUGCCAGCCAGCAAUUGGGUGUAGCUACUAUUACGGCUCUCUCAGUCGCUUCCCGGGAAACCAAAGCUUUUGGGCUCCGGGGGAAGUAUGGUUGCAAAGCUGAAACUUAAAGGAAUUGACGGAAGGGCACC
rnacentral:rRNA from 1 species